GGCCUGAUGACGAAUACAGUGAAAGUGAUGGUGUAUGAUUGCUGAGACUAGGUCAUAAAGGGCAUUGCAGCCUCUGCCUUGGUCUCUUGGAUUUUUCACUGAGAGUCAGCUGCUAUGCUUCAAGCAGUGCCAUGGAGAAAGUCUGAGGCCUCCCGUCAAUAGCCAGCACCAAUUUGCCAGAACCUCACUCUGUCCCCAGGCUGGAGUGCAAUGGUGUGAUCCCGGCCCACUACAACCUUUGCCUCCCACGUUCAAGCAAUUCUCCUGCCUUAGCCUCUCAAGCAGCUGGGAUUACAAAUUUAAAGAGUUUACCUGGCAUUCUAAAU
ensembl:lncRNA